GCCCCAAAGCCUUAGAAAUUGCAGUGCCCCACUGACUACCAACCCAGAAACCAGUCCAACUCUCAUUGCCUUCAUCUUAGAGAGCAAUCCUUAAGGAUAAAAGACCUGAUAACUGCUCCUGUGGUACCCACCCGCCUUCAAUAUCCAAAACUUCCAAUGAUCCCCAAAAGAAAGUUCUCUUCACUAAAAUCUUUGGCACUUUCAAAUGAUGUAGCAUAAAAAAAUAAAGAGGAUUUUAUUAAUGGGAAUGACACUAUAGGAAAUAUAUUGCCAUCUGCCCUGCUGCUAUACCCUAAGGACCAUAGGGCCUUUCCAUUUGAUUUGUAGCUGAAUCUUUCCACAUAUAUUCUUUCCCCUAUUAGGAUAAUUUAUCCUUGAGAACAGGGCAUUACUGUUUCACCUUACUGUUUGUAUCUCUAGCAUUGAGCCCAUGUUUUGUUCAUAGUAAGUGCUUAAUAGAUGCUUAAUCCUUCCUUCCCUAUCAGCUCUUGUGCAUUUGAAUCCUUCUGGGAGACCAACUCAGGAUAGAGAAUUAGUUCCAGAUUAUCUCUCUCCCUCCACCCAUUGAGAAGGCAAAAAAAAAAUGCAAAACCAUUACAAAUAUGAAGUCAGGCAAAAACAAAUUAUUCAUGUUCUGAAGAAAAAAAGGAAGGACAGAGGGUAGUAAAGAAGGAAGUAAAAGAGAAAGAAAGAGCAAGCAAAAGCAAGAAAGAAAGAGAAAGAAAAGAACCAUGCGUCUCUCUGCACUCUGAUUCACCAUUUCCCUAUCUGGAGGUAAUGCCUUCACCUCCAAGGGUAGGCAGAGUCCCUGCCAAGAUAUUCUAGCUGUCAUCCACGAAGCCAACGGAAAG
rnacentral:lncRNA from 1 species